rfam:Clostridium sp. CAG:127 genomic scaffold, scf106
UACAUUUGUGACUUAGAAGUAAUUCGUGUUCUGUGAAUAUCAGCAAUGCGAAAACACGAUGUUUUCGCAAGCUGCCACUGAGCCAUGGAUGGCGAAUUGGCAGCGGUUGCGUACGGUAAUACAUAUAUCCCAGAACACGAAUAUUACUUCUUAGUCACAAUAUGU